CAUAAUCAUUUGUCCACUAAUUAUGGACUAGCAUGAAAGGCAAAAUGAGGGUUUAACUGUCUCUUAUAGUAAGUCAAUUAAACUGAUCUACCAGUAAAAAAGCUGGUAUAAAUACACAAGACCAGAAGACCCUGUGAAGCUUAAACUAAAUUAUUAAACUACAUAAUAACUACUUUCGGUUGGGGCGACCUUGGAAAAAAAAGAACUUCCAAAUUAGUGACAAUUUAUCACCCCCAGGCCAACAAGCCACAUAUGACCCAGCACACCUGAUAACUGAACCAAGUUACUCCAGGGAUAACAGCGCCAUCUUCUUCAAGAGUCCAUAUCAAAAAGAAGGUUUACGACCUCGAUGUUGGAUCAGGACACCCCAA
rnacentral:rRNA from 1 species